rnacentral:rRNA from 1 species
CCUACGGGUGGCAGCAGUGGGGAAUAUUGGACAAUGGGGGCAACCCUGAUCCAGCCAUGCCGCGUGUGUGAAGAAGGCCCUCGGGUUGUAAAGCACUUUCAGUGAGGAAGAACGCCUGGUGGUCAAUACCCAUCAGGAAAGACAUCACUCACAGAAGAAGCACCGGCAUAACUCCGUGCCAGCAGCCGCGGUAAUACGGAGGGUGCGAGCGUUAAUCGGAAUUACUGGGCGUAAAGCGCGCGUAGGUGGCUUGAUAAGCCGGUUGUGAAAGCCCCGGGCUCAACCUGGGAACGGCAUCCGGAACUGUCAAGCUAGAGUGCAGGAGAGGAAGGUAGAAUUCCCGGUGUAGCGGUGAAAUGCGUAGAGAUCGGGAGGAAUACCAGUGGCGAAGGCGGCCUUCUGGACUGACACUGACACUGAGGUGCGAAAGCGUGGGUAGCAAACAGGAUUAGAUACCCGGGUAGUC